GGUUGUCCCGGGCGACGGUUGUCCCGGUUUAAGCGUGUAGGUGUGUGUUCCAGGUAAAUCCGGUUCACUUUAACACUGAGGCGUGAYGACGAGGCACUACGGUGCUGAAGCAACAAAUGCCCUGCUUCCAGGAAAAGCCUCUAAGCAUCAGGUAACAUCAAAUCGUACCCCAAACCGACACAGGUGGUCAGGUAGAGAAUACCAAGGYGCUUGAGAGAACUCGGGUGAAGGAACUAGGCAAAAUGGUGCCGUAACUUCGGGAGAAGGCACGCUGACACGUAGGUGAAGUGAUUUACUCAYGGAGCUGAAGUCAGUCGAAGAUACCAGCUGGCUGCAACUGUUUAUUAAAAACACAGCACUGUGCAAACACGAAAGUGG
rnacentral:rRNA from 1 species